UUACCCUACAUCAUUAAGCUGUUGUUUCGUCGUAUCAGAAUCUGAUAGUAAAAGCAACAAGUGUGGUUCGGUAAUCUCAUGCUAUCUUGUUCAUAUUUAGCAGCUAGCCAGAAGAGAGCAACGUAUAACUUAAAACUGUUUGUAGUUAGAUGUUAGAUUUUGCUGCGAAGACUUUGCCAAGUAUUUUCCUGUGUAGCUGAAAUCAUAGAUAAUAUAUGGACUGAAAUGACCAGAGUACAUUGUUAAUUUGGAUGUUCGUGUUCGUUAGCAUCGUUGGUAAGAGUUAACGUGCUAGCUAGCAUGGCAAUGGCACACUACAUUGGUCGAUGUGAAGCUACGUUUUGGUGGCAGGUAUAAUUGUGGGUAAGUAGUGUUUGUUAUUCAUCUUUCUGUAAUCUCUCUAGCCCUGUAGGACAAGCUGGCGGACCCCUCCCACCCUCUCAAGCAAGCAGUGAAAGCCCUGCAGGACAAGCUGGCGUACUCCUCCCAUCGUCUCCAUCGGCCCAGUUCAGCACCACCUUCCAGACAGCAAGCAGUGAAAGGACAAGCUGUCGGACCAUUCUCACACUCUCCAUCAAGCACAUCAAGUGACAGGCCAAUCUUCCCCCCAGAAGUGUUACAACAAAUUAUUGGAGAAACACUGUGUCUUGAUAUGUCUAUGCUAGGUGUUUUUAACAGAGUAUCAAAAUCUUGCUGUACUGUCUGUCCACUAGCCACCUUUUACCACUGUCUUACUGCUUCACUGUUUGCAUGCUAUAUUAGCACAUAUGCAUAACCCCUCCCUCAAUCCCACAGCCGGAUUGUGGCCACACUUAUACCUUUACUUAAUACGUAAUGCUUUAUAAUCAAUACUCGUAUAAAGGCUGUAACCCUAUUACGUCAACCCAUUCUUGCACUGAUAUAGUUUUUCUAUAGUCUUUUUUUAUA